UAGCCUUAACAUUCUAAUAAAUUUAGUGAGUUUUCACCAGUUUUAACAGACGGUCAGACGUUCAAUCGCCUGUUUCAGUUUUUAUAGCAUAGUCAUGGCAAGUUAAAUUCUACCGUCAAUAAUUUAGCUAGCUAGCCAUCAAUCACAUUUUUAAUUCAAACUUCAGCCAAACUUACCAAGCGCCACGCAGUCAGCUAGAACUUCGGGUGCAGUAAUGGAGGUGGUACUACACUCCAAUCAGAGAAGCAGUGAAAGAGUGCUCUCACCUGGGUGCCUGCCGAUGAGGAUCUCUGUGACGCCCUGCACAGAGCCAAUCUGGAACCUGCAGUUGCACCUCUCAGCUGGGUAGAGGCAAAGCUUGGAGCUAUCACUGCUGGAGCCUGAAAGGAGCAUGUGACCAAAGUCCAUCAGCUGAUAUUGUCUUCAUAUGGAAAUAAAGAGGAGAACUUUUUAAACACA